UACGGAGGGUGCAAGCGUUGUCCGGAUUUAUUGGGCGUAAAGAGUUCGUAGGUGGUUUGUUAAGUCUGAUGUUAAAGACUGGGGCUCAACCUCGGAAAUGCAUUGGAUACUGGCAGACUUGAGUGUGGUAGAGGCAAUCGGAAUUCCAGGUGUAGCGGUGAAAUGCGUAGAUAUCUGGAAGAACACCGGUGGCGCAAGCGGAUUGCUGGGCCAUAACUGACACUGAGGAACGAAAGCUAGGGUAGCGAAUGGG
rnacentral:rRNA from 1 species